rnacentral:rRNA from 1 species
AGGACUAACGCUGGCGGCGUGCCUAACACAUGCAAGUCGAACGGGGGUAGCAAUACCCCAGUGGCAGACGGGUGAGUAACACGUGGUCAACCUACCUCUGUGUGGGGGAUAACUAGCCGAAAGGUUAGCUAAUACCGCAUACGAUCGUUUUGAGGCAUCUCGAGACGAUGAAAGGAGCAAUCCGCACGGAGAGGGGACUGCGUCCCAUUAGUUAGUUGGUGGGGUAACGGCCUACCAAGACUCCGAUGGGUAGCUGGCUUGAGAGAGCGACCAGCCACACUGGAACUGAGACACGGUCCAGACUCCUACGGGAGGCAGCAGUGAGGAAUUUUCCGCAAUGGGCGAAAGCCUGACGGAGCGACGCCGCGUGUGGGAUGAAGGCCUUCGGGUCGUAAACCACUGUCGAAGGGGACGAUAUUGACGGUACCCUUGGAGGAAGCCCCGGCUAACGUACGCGCCAGCAGCCGC